AAGACUGUACAUGCAGUAUGAGGUCUGAGAUGCAAGAUCUUGAGAUUCAGGUCAACAGUCUCACCCCUAGCAUUUUUGUUUAUUUAUAUUCAUGUCCCAUUCUCAUAAGAGCUUUAUCUUGAACUUUUGCCUGCAUUUCUUGUCAGACAGCAACUGGUUUUUCUCUUGAUAACAUCACUGACUCCACCUGUACAUACAGAUUUCUUCCUGCUUUCAGACUGGUAACAAGCAAAGAGACAUGAUGAAGAAUGAUGAAACCACAAACAGUUUUAGGAGUUUGUUGAAUCUCAGAUAGACGUCAGGAGUCAGAAAAGAUGAUUGGCUGAAGACUAAAGAAAGAAGGAAUGAAGAGAAUGUCACCAUGUCCAGCGCUAACAACACAGAGACCCUUACCAAAAAUGCUGCUCCCCAAAGAAGAGGGAGCAAAACUGACCCUCCUUACU